UACGUAGGGGGCAAGCGUUGUCCGGAUUUAUUGGGCGUAAAGAGCGUGUAGGCGGCCAGGUAGGUCAGCUGUGAAAACUCGAGGCUCAACCUCGAGACGUCGGUUGAAACCACCUGGCUAGAGUCCGGAAGAGGAGAGUGGAAUUCCUGGUGUAGCGGUGAAAUGCGCAGAUAUCAGGAGGAACACCAAUGGCGAAGGCAGCUCGCUGGGACGGUACUGACGCUGAGACGCGAAAGCGUGGGGAGCAAACAGG
rnacentral:rRNA from 1 species